rnacentral:rRNA from 1 species
AUUGAACGCUGGCGGCAGGCCUAACACAUGCAAGUCGAACGAGUGGCGGACGGGUGAGUAAUGUCUGGGAAACUGCCUGAGGGAGGGGGAUAACUACUGGAAACGGUACCUAAUACCGCAUACCAUCAGAUGUGCCCAUAUGGUAUUAGCUAGUGGGUGGGGUAACGGCUCACCAAGGCGACGAUCCCUAGCUGGUCUGAGAGGAUGACCAGCCAAACUGGAACUGAGAAACGGUCCAGAGUCCUACGGGAGGAAGCAGUGGGGAAUAUUGCACAAGGGGCGCAAGCCUGAUGCAGCCAUGCCGGGUGUAUGAAGAAGGCCUUCGGGUUGUAAAGUACUUUCAGCGGGGAGGCGUUACCCGCAGAAGAAGCACCGGCUAACUCCGUGCCAGCCGCCGCGGUAAUAC